GGCUGGCAGGGGGCAGGAGGCACUCGAGUCUGGGAAGUCUUCUGCUUGCUUAAUUUACUCCAGCCCAAACUGUGUGUGUGCCAUCGGCCAGACAGGACACAGAAACGGUGGAGGAGAUCCACUCUGAUCAGCCCAAGAGACAGUUGCUGAGCAACCAUCGGUGCCAAGCCCGCUGCCCACUGCUGGACGUGGGAGCCACUGUGCAGUGGCAAAAGUCAGGAGCACAAGGCAAGGGCUGGGACUCACACUGUGCCAGGCCCUGGGCAAGGAAGUCUGGAGCGGACGAAAGCUCUGCAGCCUAGCCCCCUCCGAGCCUGGCGUCCACACCCUCACAUAGCCCCGGCUUCCAGCUGCUCCAACGACUGGAGGAGCAGAAGCUUCCGAAAGCCUUCCAGUCUCCCCUGGUCCCCAUGGGGCUCCAGGGAGAAAACAGGAUGCCCUUCUGGCCCUGGAGGAGCUGAGCGCAGCACGCUGAGCGCAGCACUCAGAGCGCAGCAGAGCCACAGGGACGCUCCACUGUUGACCUGCACAGGGAAAGCUGGCCAGUUUCCUGUUCCCUGUUCUCAGACUGGCAGCUCCAGCCUGCUGUGGAGCCAGCCGGCACUGCUCCCAAGUCUGAACAAGGCUCAGGCAGCCCCUGGUGCUCUGCCUCCCAAAGGACUCCUCUCAGAUUCUCGUCACUGGAAAGAGAAGACGGAAAAAUAAACAUCUAGACUUCUAUAAAGUGUCAUUUUUUUUUUGAGACAGUCUCACUCUGCUGCCCAGGCUAGAGUGCAAUGGCGUGAUCUGGGCUCAUUGCAACCUCCGCCUUCUGGGUUCAAGCAAUUCCCCGUCUCAGCCUCCCAAGUAGCUGGGAUUAUAGGCAUCCACCACCACGCCUGGCUAAUUUUUUUAUUUUUUGGUAGAGAUGGGGUUUCCCAUGUUGGCUAGGCUGGUCUCGAAUUCCUGACCUCAGGUGAUCCACCCGCCUCGGCCUCCCAAACUACA